rnacentral:rRNA from 1 species
GAUGAACGCUGGCGGCGUGCUUAAUACAUGCAAGUCGAACGGAGGAUGUAGUGAUAUAUCCUCAGUGGCGAACGGGUGAGUAACACAUGGGUGACCUGCCCCGAAGUGGGGGAUAGCAGUUCGAAAGGACUGAUAAUACCGCGUAAGCUUGGUUGAGUUAGAGCAGACCAAGUAAAGGUUUUCGAAUCGCUUCGGGAGGGGCCUGUGUCCCAUCAGCUAGUUGGUAAGGUAACGGCUUACCAAGGCGGAGACGGGUAGGGGCCUGAGAGGGUGGCCCCCCACAAUGGGAACUGAAACACGGUCCAUACACCUACGGGUGGCAG